GGAAAAAAGAGAAGAGGGCCAUUUUCUGAUCAAUUCACAUGAUGGAAGAAGUGGUUCAAAAGCAAUGCUCUACUCAACCACUUCCUCCAUCAUUACAAACACAAGGAAUUUAGAGGUACACAAAAUUUUGUUCUUUUGUAUUUGGGGAGUUUGGUAAAAAGGGCUUUUCAUUUCAUUAGAGAGAGAGAGAGAGAGGGAGAGAGAAGGGUAAAAAGGACUUUUCACUUCAUUCCUUUUUUUUGAAGAUUAGAAGUAGCAGAUGAAGUUUUACAUCAAUACCAUCAAUGACUAUUUCACUAACCUAACCAUGAAAUGACAACAAACUAAGUGAGUGAAAUCCAAAAG